GCAGGCGGUGGCGCGAGCUUGCCCAUCCCCGCCCGCACGCGCCUGGCUGCUCGUUGCUGCUGCUGCUUGCACGCGAGGCUGGAGCGAGCGAGCGCUGCAAGGGGCGGGCGAGCGGGCAGGCAGGCAGCGGCGGCGGCGGCUUCUGCUGCAUCUUCCCAUCUCGCCGCCGGCAAAGCGGAGCUCCGGGCCCCGGGCCGCCUGCGGAGGCAUGAUGGAAGGCGCCUCCUUCGGAGCCGGCAGGGCGGGCGCGGCGGUGGAGCCCUUGGAGUUCCUGCAGCGGCCUCAGACCCUGCUGAGGAUCCUGUCUGGGGUCUUCUCUAUUGUUGUGUUUGGCUCCAUCAUCAACGAGGGUUAUGUUAAUACAGACAAGUCCCCGGUGCUGCGCUGCAUCUACAAUGGCCACGAGGGCGCCUGCAACUAUGGAAUCGCCAUCGGCCUCAUCGCUUUCUUGGCCUGCGCCAUCUUUUUGGUGGUUGACCUCUAUUUCCAACAGAUCAGCAGCGUGAAGGACAGGAAGCGUGUGGUCCUCGUUGACCUUGGCUUCUCAGGCUUCUGGUCCUUCCUGUGGUUUGUAGCUUUCUGCUUCCUGACCAACCAGUGGCAGCGGACACCAUUCAGCCAAGGGGCGACACAAGGCGGGGACGCUGCCAGGGCAGCCAUUGCCUUCUCCUUCUUCUCCAUCCUCUCCUGGGUUGCUCUGACCUUAAAGGCCAUCCAAAGAUACAAGAUGGGGACUGACAUGUCGCUCUUUGCCACGGAUCAGUUUCCCACCGACCCCAACGCAGGCUACCCGGGCUACCCCACAGGCAGUGGCGUCGAAACCACGGAGACCUAUCAGAGCCCACCGUUCUCUGAGACCUUGGACCCCAGUCCUAAAGGCUACCAGGUGCCGGCGUAUUGAAGGGCAGGUGGGCCCCAUGAAGUUGUACAGCAAAUGGGAACAAAACCCAGAGAAAUGGGCCAACUUCCCUUCUAUGCCCAUUUCCAACCUCCCCAAAUUUGAGGGCACACUGAAGGGAUUGGCUUAAUGGUUUGGGCAAAGCUGUAUCACCCAGAACUCAGGGCUGGCCCGAGACACUUUGAUGCCUGAAGCAGAAAAUUCAAAAUGGCAGCAUCGCACGGCUUAUAGUGGGAAGCCCUCCCACAGAAGUCCCAUUGAAAUGAAUGGAACGGCACGAGAGGUGCUCAGUUGUGCCACAAUGGUCAAAUCUGCUCCUGAUGGAGACCUGAAACACAGCGGACUGUCUGGAUCGCUCACUCCAUCAGCUGCUGAGUUUUCUUUACAUCUUGUUUCUAGCAUGAUGUAGUAAGCAGGAACCAGAGAGCUUUGGCUGAGGGCCCUCCCUCUACUUCGGUCUUUGUAUUGGAAGCAUGUUUGCUUUUAGCCAUUUGAUUUAUGUAGCGCAGCUUUUCAUUGGCAUGCUCAAAAUGGCCAACAAAAUCAGUCGCACAAAAGUUUCAGCAAUGCAGUACAAAACCAUAGCAAGUGUCAGAAGCCUUGUAUGGGGUGUCCUGGCGGCCAUUUCACCUCUGUGACAUCCCUUUCCUUAGCUACUGUUUUUAGAAGGCUGUGGGUAGAAUGUGAUUCGGACUUGUCGAUUUAGGCCUCCUCACUACUUUUGCCAUUAUUUGGGCACGGAUGGAUACUUUAGUGCAAGAUUCAGCCUCUUUCUUGACAGCUGUCAAAUAAAAGAUUUUUUUUUUCCGGUGUAUUCAGCAGUGAUGGAACAUGAAAGCCUGGACAUGCUGCCCACAGCCUUCCUGGAGGAGAAGGCUACCAAUGGGUAGUAAGUAGACCUGUUGGCUAUGUGCUACCUCCAGUGUAGGAGAAAGUAAACCUAUAUACAUCAGUUGCUGAGGAACAUGGGCAGGAGGUGCUGAGGCCCCCAUGUCCUGCUUGUGUGUUCCUGCCACUGUGGGGACUAGAUGGACCCUUGGUCUGAACCAGCAUAGUUCUUAUGGUCUUAUUUUUAUCAGCAGAGAUCAUAGGCCCUUACCUCAAAGUUCCUCUUCAGAAAUUCCCAAAUGGUCUGCCAGGUGAGAGUACGAUUAUAUUUAAAGGCUUCUUCCUCCACAUCCCAUAGAAGAGUCUGCUUGUUGCAUCUCUGAAUGAGUCACAGCUAUGGCCUAGGUUCUAAUUGGCCUCCACUGGGGAUGGGCAAUUGUGGCAGCUCUCUGGAUCAGUCUACCACAGCAUCAGGCACUCUCGAAGGGGUGGCAUCUUUACCUUUACUGACUGCCCUGCAUUUACCUCCAUGCCCAGGGAAGUGACUCCUGCAGAAAUAUCAGGAGCAGGUUCUCCUGGCGAGGGAUUAAUUUUCACUCUUCUACGCGGUAAAGCGAAACUUUUUUUAGACUGAACUGUUUAUUCAAAGUGGGAAAAGACGCUGGCUUUGUUAAUACAAUGGGGAGCUGGCAUUUUGUGCAAAUGUCUAUGGUGACUCUAUGAGCUCCGCUAGGGAUACCCUCAGGAAGAAGGAAGCAUAUUCUCUGCUGGCAGUAAUGUAUUCUAUACGCCACUGCAGUCAAGCCAAAUGUGUACGGCCAAAACUGUCACAUUGAACACAAUCAAUAAUGUGUAGCAAGCCCUUAAUUCUUGUGUGGUUACUUCAUUCUUACGGUAAAAAUGAGAUGUAGCAACGGCUGCAAGUGAGCCGCUGACACGGAUGGUGCUUCUUUUGUAACUUGAGCUCAUUUUCAUCACCAGGAUGGGGAUGAGCUUGCAGGUGUAGAAAUGAACCACCACAGAAGAAUUUACAGAGAAAUGCCUCCUCUUUUUCAGUAAAACCAGACCAAUGAUUCCCUCUUAUGUCUCCGCCAGAACCUCCCUGCAACUCCAUCCACCAAGUGUCACCUUGUCCUUCCCUACAGAACCAGGACAUGAGCUUUUACGGCACCGCUUUGAGGAGUGUUUCCGUUUCACAGGGCACAGCAGCCAUCAUCCUGGCUUUGGCACGUCUGUCAAAGGUGCCCUUUUUCUUUGUGAAGUAGUGCUGGUAGGCGCAUCUCACAAGGCCCAAAUCACCAUGUUCAAGAUGUUAACUCAGCCGCUUAGUUGCCCAAUGAAAAGGAGUUUGCCAGCUUCUGGGGGGGGGGGGGCGGGGAGGAAGUAUUAAGAAACUUUAAGGAAAGCAUUAAUGGGAGCGUGGCUGCCUUGACAGCUAUCGGCUAUCCUAUUGCUUGUGGUAGUUGCUGGCAACAAAACACAUCAGCCAUAUGUUCAGGCGCACCCUCACAAGGAAACCACAGCUAUCACAAGCAACGGGAAACAGUGAGGGCAGCCUGGUGGCUGUGUGGCAAUCUGCCUGCCACUCAGAGCUGGUUGGAGGGAAGUGGGAGUCCUGCCUGCCACUUCACCCAGAAAGAGAGGCCUGUUUUCUACUGCCACAAAAAUGGC